CUAGUUGGUGAUAAAUAUCUCAACUUCUUCCUGUAUGCGACAAUGGAAUUUCCUUCCGGUAUUAUAUUCUUUCUGAUCGUUGAUAGAUUUGGUAGAAAGAAAACACUAAGAACAUUUUAUGCUUUAUGUGGGACUGGUAUGAUUCUGGCUACAAUUAUUAAAGUUACAUCCGAUAGUUAUGCAGCAUCAGUUUGUAUAACUAUUUUAUCAUUGGUUGGUAAACUUGGAGCCGGUGGUGCUUUUGGUGCAUGUUUCUUCUACACCCCAGAAAUUUUCCCCACCAAUUUAAGGAAUGUUGGACUGGGAUCAGCGUCCAUCGCUGCUCGAGUUGGUGGAAUGUUAGGACCAUUCUCACGAGUUUUGGCUCAACAUAUAUCAUGGGGUCCAGGAGCUGUAUUCGGUGGCUGUUGUUUGCUUGCCACCCUCUUGAUCACCAUUUUACCGGAAACUAGAGGGAAGGAACUCCCACAGACUAUGGCGGACGUGAAACUUCUGUACAAGAAGAUACCAGAUGACUCAACAUUAAAACUGAAGGAUAGAAAGACAAAGAUAUUUAAAUCGUAAUUUUAAAUAGAUAAAUAGCAAUAUCUAAAAUUUCGACUUGUGUUUAAAGAAACAGUGCGAAGUUAACUCGAGGUGUUAUGUUGAUUAGUAACGAGGCAACCUUUUUUUAAUACGCCCGUCGGUUCCUUCACAUUUGUUUGUGGACAUUCUACAGGUCACAAUUUUUAUUCCAUUUUGACAAAACUUGGAAUAUAGGUUUAUCUCCAUAAGAUCUUGGUUCCUUUUGAUAUUGAUAGGUAACCGACCAUAACAUCACGGAGUAUGGACCUUGUUUUUAGCUUGUUGUCCCUCUAGAGGUCAUAAUUUUUAUCCGAUUUUAAACACCGUUUACAUAUAUCACCGUUACACCAUAAUGAAGACUGACUUCGAAUUUCUGGAAAAUCGCAACGAAACUGACUGAGUUCAAUGAUUAACAUUAUCAGCUAAAGCUAAGUAGAGCUAAGCAAUUUCAUUGGUCGAUUCUUUGGGACAAGAUACAUUUGAUUCUAACUGAUGGAGAGUGAUGAAACUUAAUUAGCGUAUAGCUAAUUGCUCGAUACUUUUCAAAAGGAUAAAUGCAAUGUGCAAUUAAUAUAUAUAUGUGUCAUCUAUUUAUUGUGGGAUUGCGACGGGGGACAUCAGGCGGUUGAUAUGGGGCGCUUCGUUAC